rnacentral:rRNA from 1 species
AACGAACGCUGGCGGCAGGCCUAACACAUGCAAGUCGAACGCCGUAGCAAUACGGAGUGGCAGACGGGUGAGUAACACGUGGGAACCUUCCCGAUGGUACGGAAUAGCUCAGGGGAAACUUGGGGGUAAUACCGUAUACGCCCGCAAGGGGAAAGAUUUAUCGCCAUUGGAUGGGCCCGCGUCGGAUUAGCUAGUUGGUGAGGUAACGGCUCACCAAGGCGACGAUCCGUAGCUGGUCUGAGAGGACGAUCAGCCACAUUGGGACUGAGACACGGCCCAAACUCCUACGGGAGGCAG